GGCAAACAGCAAAACGUUGAGAUGGGUUUGUAUUGAGGGGAAUGUUGGCUGGCUCGAGGCUUUUCACAAAGGAGGUUCAUUCACAAUUGGAAGAACUAUAAGGCUUCGGACCAGGCUUCAUUCCCCUCAAAUAUGUACUUAUUUCAUGUGAUGCUGCUGCUGCCUAUUAAUUAAAUUAUUGUUCUUCAUUUGGAUUUCUAAUCAUCAUGCAUGUUCAAACUUCAAAGUUGAAAGAGGAGGUGUUGUUUUUUCUUUGUAUAAAUGUGGUUAAGGUGGUGGUUCUUGCAAAGGUUAGGUUGAGAGGAAUGUUGUCUGGCUCGAGGUCAUGUUUGGAGGAGGAGGAGUACUGAUAUCAAUUCUUUCAGUAGUGAAAGUUUCCAGUGAAGUAAAUGGAAAUUUAAUUACCCUACUCUUAACAGAAAAAUGAUUCUCGGACCAGGCUUCAUUCCCCCCAGCCAACUUUUGCUACUUGAAUUUCAUUUUGUUUCUAAUGAUCAUCAUCAUCUAUCUUCAUCGAUAUCUUGCCCCUAUUUCUCUUGGCGAACGGUGAAAAUUAUUGGGAAGGGAAACUCACAAUUUACUUUGGAAAAAGCCAUCAUUUUCAUGAAUCUGAAUGAAUGUACUUCAGUGAAAUGACAGUGAUGAGUAUUCAAUUCAAGGCAUGCACUAGUUGCUGAUGAAGAAGCAUCUGUGAAAGAGUACUCAAUAAUGAAAGAAGGGUUGAGAUGCCAUGGAUAGAGAGAGACAUAUAAGAGAUGUGCUGGAACAGUUAACGAGAAGAAGUAAGAAUCAGGAGAAGCUAGCUAGGGAUUCUUCUAUCUGUCACUCUUCCAUUAUCAUGAUGACCCAGAUAGAUAGAUAUAUAUAUCUGCAUGCAUAAGCAAUGAUGCAAACUAAACCUGGAAAAAAGAGAAAGAGAAAAUAGCUCUUCUCUUCUAUUAUUCUAUAUUUGUGUGUGUGUGUCUGAUAUGUGUGUUUUAGUGUAAUGUAUUUAUGGAGCUUUUAAAGUUGUUGAAAAUUCAGAAACCCUCUUUGGAAAAGCUUGGAU